GAUAGAAAUAGACAUGCAUCAUGCUUGUUUGCGCAUAUCUCUGUGCUAUGUAACUCUGUGAUUGUGUGUGUGUGCUGCAUGACUGAUUGACUUCUGAGUUCUUUUAUUAUUCAUGCUUAUAAGUGUUUUGUUGUUAGUUGCGAUCGGUUAAUAAUGGCAAAAUGAACUUAACUUCUAACCCCGACCCUACUAAGAACUUCCCAGUUCUUACCCCCUAUCUCCACCCCUUUCAGCUACAGGUGCAAAGGCUCAUUGUCAAGUUACGGGAGCACAGAGGAAUAUGUUUAUAAGUUGAGUUGUUAGGAUUUGUUUUCCCCUCGCCUUGUUAAUUAGAGUUUUUAGAGGGGUAGGAUUUGUUUUUGGAAAUCUUGAAAUAAGUUUAUGUAUUUAAUUCUAUGUGAAUAUAUAUACUUUU
rnacentral:lncRNA from 1 species